rnacentral:lncRNA from 1 species
GGGAGACAGGACUUCCCUCACUGGGCUGAAGAUAGCCCCUGAAGUUAGGCACAGUCACCGGCGAAAUAUCUUUAUGGCAGAAAUGUGUUUCCUGCCCGUCUAACUUAGGUACUUCCCUCUGCAGCCAGCGUAAUCUUUCUAGAACACGUGUACCGGUAAUUACUGCUUCCACCCCCAGUUCUAGGCAAAGAGCAAGGCCGUUGCGCUCGUCUGCCUCGGAAAGUGGCUCCUCAGUGCCCUCAGACAAGUAAGUGUCAACUGUGCAGCAGACCUCUCAGAUCCAGGCAGCAUGUCCCUGCUCACCACUAGGCCCAUCUCAGCAGUCCAGGUGGACAUCCCCUGGAGCCUCUGUCACUCCCCCUGUAA